rnacentral:rRNA from 1 species
GAUGAACGCUGGCGGCGUGCUUAACACAUGCAAGUCGAACGAGAAAUGUAGACGGAAACCUUCGGGCGGAAGCCUUCAUUUCGAGUGGCGGACGGGUGAGUAACGCGUGGGUAACCUGCCUCAUACAGGGGGAUAACAGUUGGAAACGACUGUUAAUACCGCAUCAGACCACAGCAUCGCAUGAUGCGGGGGUAAAAACUCCGGUGGUAUGAGAUGGACCCGCGUUCGGUUAGCCAGUUGGCGGGGUAACGGCCCAGCAAAGCGACGAUCGAUAGCCGAUCUGAGAGGAUGACCGGCCACAUUGGGACUGAGACACGGCCCAAACUCCUACGGGAGGCAGCAGUGGGGAAUAUUGCACAAUGGGGGAAACCCUGAUGCAGCGACGCCGCGUGAGUGAAGAAGUACUUCGGUAUGUAAAGCUCUAUCAGCAGGGAAGAAAAUGACGGUACCUGAGUAAGAAGCCCCGGCUAACUACGUG